UGUGGUGGAAAGCUUUUGCGGUGUGGGAUGGGCCCGCGGCCUAUCAGCUUGUUGGUGGGGUUAAGGCCUACCAAGGCGACGACGGGUAGCCGGCCUGAGAGGGUGACCGGCCACACUGGGACUGAGAUACGGCCCAGACUCCUACGGGAGGCAGCAGUGGGGAAUAUUGCACAAUGGGCGCAAGCCUGAUGCAGCGACGCCGCGUGAGGGACGACGGCCUUCGGGUUGUAAACCUCUUUCAGCACAGACGAAGCGCAAGUGACGGUAUGUGCAGAAGAAGGACCGGCCAACUACGUGCCAGCAGCCGCGGUAAUACGUAGGGUCCGAGCGUUGUCCGGAAUUACUGGGCGUAAAGAGCUCGUAGGUGGUUUGUCGCGUUGUUCGUGAAAACUCACAGCUCAACUGUGGGCGUGCGGGCGAUACGGGCAGACUGGAGUACUGCAGGGGAGACUGGAAUUCCUGGUGUAGCGGUGGAAUGCGCAGAUAUCAGGAGGAACACCGGUGGCGAAGGCGGGUCUCUGGGCAGUAACUGACGCUGAGGAGCGAAAGCGUGGGGAGCGAACAGGAUUAGAUACCCUGGUAGUCCACGCCGUAAACGGUGGGUACUAGGUGUGGGUUUCCUUCCUUGGGAUCCGUGCCGUAGCUAACGCAUUAAGUACCCCGCCUGGGGAGUACGGCCGCAAGGCUAAAACUCAAAGAAAUUGACGGGGGCCCGCACAAGCGGCGGAGCAUGUGGAUUAAUUCGAUGCAACGCGAAGAACCUUACCUGGGUUUGACAUGCACAGGACGUGCCUAGAGAUAGGUAUUCCCUUGUGGCCUGUGUGCAGGUGGUGCAUGGCUGUCGUCAGCUCGUGUCGUGAGAUGUUGGGUUAAGUCCCGCAACGAGCGCAACCCCUAUCUUAUGUUGCCAGCGCGUUAUGGCGGGGACUCGUAAGAGACUGCCGGGGUCAACUCGGAGGAAGGUGGGGAUGACGUCAAGUCAUCAUGCCCCUUAUGUCCAGGGCUUCACACAUGCUACAAUGGCCGGUACAAAGGGCUGCGAUGCCGCGAGGUGGAGCGAAUCCUUUAAAGCCGGUCUCAGUUCGGAUCGGGGUCUGCAACUCGACCCCGUGAAGUCGGAGUCGCUAGUAAUCGCAGAUCAGCAACGCUGCGGUGAAUACGUUCCCGGGCCUUGUACACACCGCCCGUCACGUCAUGAAAGUCGGUAACACCCGAAGCCGG
rnacentral:rRNA from 2 species